rnacentral:misc_RNA from 1 species
GAUGAAGAACGUAGCGAAAUGCGAUAAGUAAUGUGAAUUGCAGAACUCAGUGAAUCAUCGAAUCUUUGAACGCACAUUGCGCCCAUUAGCAUUCUAGUGGGCAUGCCUGUUCGAGCGUCAUUUCAACCCUUAAGCCCUGUUGCUUAGCGUUGGGAGCCUACAGUACUGUAGCUCCCCAAAGUUAGUGGCGGAGUCGGUUUCACACUCUAGACGUAGUAAUUUUUUCUCGUCUGUAGUUGAGCCGGUCCCCUGCCGUAAAACACCCAAUUUAUCAAGGUUGACCUCGGAUCAGGUAGGAAUACCCGCUGAACUUAAGCAUAUCAAUAAGCGGAGGA